rnacentral:misc_RNA from 1 species
ACACAGUGAUCAGCGGGAGGAUUCAGAAAAAGCAGGUCAUAUAAACUGCAUGUGUUUCCGCAAGAGGAAAAGAUACUAACGUUCCAACAGGAUGCUGAAAACAAGGACUUUGUUGACUGCAUUAAGAUCGUCAACUCCUUCCUUGCGGAACUCCAGCACCAUUGAGGGGGUUAAGUUUAACGAUAAACCGCUUGAGGAACCCCCAGACGUCUGGAGCUUUGAUUCUAGCGGAAUUCAAAGCUUUGAUAGCGUCCCUGGACCCAAAGGAAUAUACGCCUUGCCAUUUAUAGGGCCUCUUGUUCAUGUUAAAAAGUUCAGUAAUGGAAAGAUAGGAGGUCUUAACGAUAUUCUGCGCGCAUAUCGGCAGGCGCAUGGGGAUCUGUUCCGGUUAAGAAUUGCCUCGCGGUGGAUUGUAGUCGUGUCAAAUCCGGACCUUGCAAAAGAGGUUCUAAGCAUCCGCGUCAAAUAUCCCUUCCGACCCGAAGUAGAAAUUGUGAAAAUAUUUGGCAUAAGGAACAACAAAGAAGAAGGACUUGGAACUCUGUAUGACCAUUUUAGUAAACCAGUCUAGAGGUUAAAUAAUAAUACACAGACGUCGGAACUGAAAGGACUAGAUGGGAACUGGGCCGGGGGGGGGGGGGGGGGGGGGGCGUUGGAUUAGCCUCCUCCCCCCCCCCCCUGUUUUGCAAAGAUGGGCAUAAUUUUAAUAAGUGAACAACCAACACAACCCCCCAUCUCGGAUUAGGAUUUUGAAGAUUGUCGAAAAUAGUUUUUCCUUCUCUUUUUUAUCUUGUAAAGAUUUUGGAUAAGUCUGUCCCUCUUCCCACACCCACUUUCAAAUUGCUUCCGACGCCUUUGUAAAACAGGAGUGAUUAUAUAUUAACAUUAGCAUGAAUUUUCUAGCUGUAUAAUUGAAAAAAAUAUUGUACGAAUUUUUUUACUUGGCAGGCAAGGAGAGGCGUGGUGGAACCUUCGAAAGCCCGCCCAGGAUCACAUAAUGAAACCGUCCGCUGUCCGUUCUUAUAUACCACUCAUAGAUGAGGUGGCGGGUGAUUUCGUUGCCAGUUUAAAAGACACCCGAACUAUAGAUGACUGUCUUCAAUUACUCAAUGCUGUUGCAACUGAAUGCAUGGGAAUGUUGUGUUUCAAUCGCCGGUUAGGAUGUCUACAGGGCCAAUCGCCAAUCAGUAUGGAAGAUCUCAAUACAAUUUUCACCUCCACUGCUGAAGCUGGAAAGUUCUUCAAACCUUACAAAUAUUUCAGGACGCCAUUUUACCGAAGAUUUGAGAAGGCUGUCCUCAAACUUCACUGACAAUGAAAUCGAAUGUGCUGUCCAGCGGUUAAAAUCUACGGCCGAGGAAUCCACUGAAAACGCACACGCAUCUUGUCCCAAUCUCCUACUGUCCAUGAUGACCGACGGACGUCUGACCAAAGACAGAAUAAAUCUUCUCAUCACCAAUCUGUUCGGCGGGGGGAUUGACUCUACUUCCAAUACAAUGACGUUUCUGUGGUACGAAUUGGCGGCAAAUGAAGAAGCGCAGAAAAAAGUAUAUGAUGAAAUCAGUGAUCACAGCAGCAAUCAUGGUCUUGACACUACAGCACUAUCUAAGAUGACUUUUCUGAAAGCAUGUCUUCGGGAAUCGAUGAGAAAGAAUUUCCCUACCAAUGUUGGAAGCGUCCGUAUUUUUGACACAGAUUGUAACAUAUCAGGAUACAAAAUUCCGAAAAAGACACCAAUACUGAUUGCGUCAAAUAACAUCAGUAAAGACUCCCGAUUCUACAAGUAUCCCGAUCAAUUCAUCCCGGAGAGGUUUUUGCGGGGAUCUGAUGCUUUGGACAACAAAACAAGACACUCACAUCCCUUUGCGUUCCUGCCCUUUGGAUUUGGUCCCCGAAGUUGCAUUGGACAAAGAUUUGCAGAAACCGAGAUUCUCGUCGUAACACUCAAUCUCAUCAAGAACUUUCGAAUCUCCUUACCUUCCGGAAGUCCCAAGAAUCUGGAAUCCGUGACAAGAACAUUCACAGCUCCGGCAAAGAAAGUCACGCUUCAUCUCACACCGAGGCCAGGUCCAUGAAAAUCAUGCAUGGAUCCAAUAAUAUUCCACUGGGGGUCCGAAAAAUAAAAAUUAAACUCUGUAUUCCGAGGGUUGGGAUGAGGAAUGUACCAUGCCUGUUUUUUGGUAACUUUACUAUGUAAACUAUGUAACGGAGACCCCCCCCCCCCCCCCCCCGAUCCCUCACACUCAAGAUCCGCGCACGACCUGUUGCAUCAUUGCCAUUGACACAACGUGCAUAUUAGAGUCAUCAUUGCCCGUCCAAUUGACCAGAACGUGUUUCCUGCCAUGGUAAUUCCUUGGCGUAAAUCCGUAGGAUUUAAUAUUACAUGUAUACUUCGUAUGUUAUUUUUGUGUUGAAGAAACAGAUACAUGUACAUGUAACUGCCCUUGUUAAUCAUAUAGGGUUGAAUAAUUAAAAAAAAUCACUGUUUAUAAACAUAAAAUGACUUUAAUAGUCUGAGAGAGAGAGAGAGAGAGAGAGAGAGAGAGAGAGAGAGAGAGAGAGAGAGAGAGAGAGAGAGAGAGAGACCUUAGUGUCUACAUGCAAUUAUGAUUCUGUUUUCAGAAAAUAUGUAUUAAUUUUGAAUACAGUCAUGCAUUUUAACUUCCUUGUCAAUUAAUAAAUAAUUAAAA